UACAGAGGUCUCAAGCGUUGUUCGGAUUCAUUGGGCGUAAAGAGCGUGUAGGCGGCCGUACAGGUCAGCUGUGAAAACUCGAGGCUCAACCUCGAGACGUCGGUUGAAACCGUACGGCUAGAGUCCGGAAGAGGAGAGUGGAAUUCCCGGUGUAGCGGUGAAAUGCGCAGAUAUCGGGAAGAACACCCGUGGCGAAGGCGGCUCUCUGGGACGGUACUGACGCUGAGACGCGAAAAGCGUGGGGGAGCGAACAGG
rnacentral:rRNA from 1 species